rnacentral:ncRNA from 1 species
UUAACAACGAUGAUAGGGAGUAGUAGGUAUUACGAGUCUUAUAGAGAGAAUACCCAUGGCUGGAAGGUAUUUAGACGAGUGUACUGAAGCAGCCCUUAAGUUGAGGCUUCGAAAUUAGAGUAGGAGUCUACGGUUAUUCCGUUAUCAUAUUUGAGCGACUUUAUAGUAAGUAGGGUGGUACCGCGGGUUUUUCUCUCGUCCCUAAU